AGUUGAGCAAAUGGGGCAGCGUUCCCGGCGCGGGAGAGGAGCCGGCCGUCAGGGAGGGCUCCGGCGCUCUGGCUUCCCAAAAAGGCUGGUGCAGAUUUCUGUCUCCGGAGCUUUAGCUUGGAGGCUGUCGCAUCAGGCUCCUGGAUGCUGUGAUAUCUCUGCCUUGAGCCUUACUCUUCCCAUUGCCAGAAACCCAGGGAUGUUUUAGGGAGAACACGUGGGUUUGCGUGGCAGCAGGAGCUCCGCGGGAUGAAGCACCCAGUACCGCAGGGAGCGUGAAGUCCUCACGCUGCCUUUCGUCGCAGUUACGGACACGGGGCAUCGCCAUGGCAGCGUCUUUAAAAACACGCAGAAUACGCCCAGCUUUAUUCCAAAAACGGUGCAAACCUUUGAGCCGUCAGAGCUUUCGGCUUCCCCUGCGCUCCCUGCUCCUGGGGCAGGAGACGGCAGAGUGCGUCCUGCGGGCGAGGGAUGAGGGGCCCUGAGCUGAGCGCAGCCUCGAAGCUCGGCGGUGACCCUGAUGGCAACGCCCCACGUCCUCUGCAUUUUAUCUGUCACUACGAAAAAACCAAACUUGUUUGGAGGUGCAUCAGCUGGGGAUGGGUCCUUCAGCGCGGUGCCCUCAAGACAGGUUCCUCCUGGGGACCUGCCCAGAGCUUCUUUAUGGCAAACUCCUGCAGGGGAAGUUUCGGCACUCUCAUCCCAGCCCCGUCCUCUCGCGCAUGAGCCAGCUGCCAGCCCAAGAGACUCUUGCCGGCGUCUGUCCAGAUUUGACAUAUCGGAAAAAUUUCUAUUUUUUUUUUUUUUUUUUUCUUUUAGCUAAUCAUUCCUAAGACUGAGUUGUCCUGCCACGUGUUCUCAUGUUUUUUUCCAAUCUCUCGGUUUGGAGGUGGCCUUUGGAAGAUGAUGUUUCAGUCCUAACGGCGUUCUCGCGCCAAAACGCAGCUGCUUGGGCUGCGGGGCUGCACGGGACUCCCAGGGCUCAGCACCAGCUUCCUCUACCUCGUCCAGCUCCUUCCAGAAACGGGCAGUUUUGCAGCACCGUGUUGCCUUCCCGCGGGCUCUGGCUCCCUUCUUUGACCAGGUACCUCCGCGUGCAAAACCUGGCUGUCGCCAAGGACUCCUGCUCUCCGACGCAUCAUGCCAAGCUUAACGUGGUUGCUUGUCUUAAAGCUUCGACAACAAAGCAUAUGCAGGACAGAUGGAUAUGAGGUUUAUAAGAUAAUUAAGCAUGUUAAUGAAGUUCAUUUGCAUCCAGGCCUUAAAUUCCCAUAAACUCUGCAAAGCUGUGAAAUGAGAAUUGCCACUCGACACCACAAAGCAACAAAAUUUAGUUACCAGAAGCAAAACAAUGAUUAACAAGCGAGAACAAAAGCCCGCUGCGAUCCCCCGAGCCGGCGGGCCCCGCGGGCCCGGCGUCCUGCACAUCCGAGCGAAUGCUUUGGCAGGUCCCGGCUCCCCAAAGUGAUGUGGCAAAGCUGCGCUGAAUUAUGCAACUAACUGGUGAUUAAGUAGCAAUGUUAAUUGAAUACAAAUUGCUUAAGGGCCUUUGGCUGGAUGGAAACGUUAUGAAAGUAGGGAGAGCGGGGCGAAAAAAUUCUUCAAAGAAGGGAGAUUUCACCCCAGAGACAGAGAAAAAUCUUUUGAAGUGCAGCAAAAACGAGACCCAACGCUCGGCGCAGGGAGCCCUGCCAUGA
ensembl:lncRNA